CCCUUAGAUGUUCUGGGCAGCACGCGCGCUACAAUGGUCUUCGCAAACGGAUGCAUUCUCGAAGGAGAAUGCCAAUCUUGGAAUCUAUGCCUUGGUCGAGACAGUUGCUUGCAAUUUUUCGACUCGAACCAGGAAUUCCCUGUAAUCGUGAUUCAUCACAUCACGAUGAAUACGUCCCUGCCCUUUGUACACACCGCCCGUCGCUCCUACCGAUCGAAGAGUUAGGUGAAUUGUUUUGAUCGAUAAGAUUUGACUAUGGUCAACUCUCGUUGUGAAAUUCUGUGAAUCUGACUGUUUAGAGGAAGGAAAAGUCGUAACA
rnacentral:rRNA from 1 species